rnacentral:rRNA from 1 species
GGGGAAUAUUGCACAAUGGGGGAAACCCUGAUGCAGCGACGCCGCGUGAAGGAAGAAGUAUCUCGGUAUGUAAACUUCUAUCAGCAGGGAAGAAAAUGACGGUACCUGACUAAGAAGCCCCGGCUAACUACGUGCCAGCAGCCGCGGUAAUACGUAGGGGGCAAGCGUUAUCCGGAUUUACUGGGUGUAAAGGGAGCGUAGACGGAUGGACAAGUCUGAUGUGAAAGACUGGGGCUCAACCCCGGGACUGCAUUGGAAACUGCCCGUCUUGAGUGCCGGAGAGGUAAGCGGAAUUCCUAGUGUAGCGGUGAAAUGCGUAGAUAUUAGGAGGAACACCAGUGGCGAAGGCGGCUUACUGGACGGUAACUGACGUUGAGGCUCGAAAGCGUGGGGAGCAAAC